AGGCGGGAGACUGGGAUCGAUUGGAGGUCGGAGGGCGCUUGAGAACCUGUUUCCCAGGCCUGGGGAGGAGAGCGCGCCGGAGCCCUCUUGUCCCUAGGGAGAAAAGGAGUUUUGCUCUUCGCUUCUUCUUCUGGCUGCCGAGGGCCAGAGGCAGCCACCAGCCUACCCCUCCAGGCAACCCCCUCCCCGCCCGGCUGCUUCCUCUCUCCAGAGGCCGGACCCGCGGCUGGCUGGCGCCGCGGCUGCUUUUCCACGUCCCGAUUUCUCCGCAGUCUGCAGUCUAUCCCCGUCUGCGCCGCGGGACAGAGCACCGGGGCCCGGGAUCCAGAAGCCCCUACCAAUCCGGCCAGGUCAGGAUCUGGGCUCCCAUUCUCGGCCUCGUUGGGGCGACCAGGUGGACGCCGUCUGAGGUUCUGGGUUUCAAGCUCUGCUCCGCCGAGGCGCGGGGUGGAGGGACCCUCUAUCCUGGCGCGGAUCCCCGCAGUGCGCACCGCUCCCUUUUGUCUCCCCAACUUGAGCAGCGGGACUGAGCUGCCUAAAGCGCACAAGGAAUCAAGCAGAGAAGAGCUCUAAUCUUUUCUUUCUUUUUUUUUUUUUUUUCGGGGGGGAGGAUAGUGUCCAAGCGGCCCCCCCACCAUCUCUCUCUCUCUCUCUCUCUCACACACACACACACACACACACACACACACCCAUGCUCUCCAGGCCCGGGGACGAGCUUUGGUUUCUGGCUUUUUGGGCGCUGCCCCGCCGGGUCCACAGGAGUUCUGGGUCCAGAGCGUGCCUUUCCUGGGAUCCUGCGACCCCGGAGUCGCGGCGCUGAGCGCGCACCCUGAACUCUCCUCUCUCCGGAGUCAGGCAGUUCUGGAUUCUCCGAGCCCCCGGCCUUCCUAGGUGUCAAGCUCCCCCUACUGCCUCGGGAAGCUCACCGCGGCGCAGAGGCAGUCCUUCGGCCUCCGGCCUCGGUCAUUCAACCGCGCGGCCCCUGCUGCCAUUUGCUCGGGGGUUGGUGACUCUGAGAUUUUCCACUCUCCCCCCAGCGUCAGUCUCACGCCUGAGGGGCCUGUUCCCGGGUUGCACGCAAAACAGCCCCAGCGACCUCCGGGACGCCACGGGGAGCUCCCAGGCCUCCACCUGGAGAGGACUUGGUAGAGGAAGACAGCCUCCGUGCCGCCUACACGGAGCCAGGCAGCCUUCAGCGCCUCCGAGCCGCCUGCCCGCACUCGCCGACUGGAGGAACCGGAGCUGGCGCCCGAGACGCUGCAGCCCUACUCCCACUCUGGUGAGGAAACCAAGGACUAAAGAGAAGUCACAUAUCUGGGCUCCAGAGCCAGAGUCCUUAACCACUGUACUGCACUGUGCUGGUCCCUGUGCCUGGAAUCUUUGUCCUCUGUCUUCUCUCCAUAAUUACCAGCAACUCAAAACUCCUGCUUCAAAUCUCAGGCCAGCAUCACCUCCUCCCGGAAGCCCCCCACAUUCUUCACAUUGGAUUCAGUGCCCUUCUCAUUGCUCCUGUAGUACCUGUCCAUCCCAUCAUACUCUCUACAUUUUCCUCACAGCCUGGGCCCUGAACACAGCAGGAGGGUUUGUCUCCUGUACCUUUUUCUAGCUCUGACAGCCAGCAUGGUACCUGGAACAUAGUAGAUGUUCGAUAAAUGUUAGAGGGAAGGUGAGAAAGGGAAGGAAGGAAGACAGAAAGGGAUGGGGGAGUGGCAUGGAGACGGAAUGGAGGAAAGUUGUGAAAGAAUUGGGCCCUCUUGGGCAGGAUGAUUCUUCCAGAGAGAGCAGAAGUAGCAGUUGGCUUAGAGGAACUGUGGACACCUUUGCCCUUCCACAAAAUGAGGCCCAGUGAGCUUCCACAUAUCAGUUAGAAACUGCAUCUGCUGACGAUGACAAAGACCCUUAAAGAGUAGCUUAAAGAAUAUGGAUAUUCUCUUCUCUCAGGAUGGAGGUGGACAGUCCAGGCUAAAAAUGGCCCUUGGUUAUCAGGGACCCAGGAUGCUCUGUCUUUGGCUAUAUCAGACCAACCAAGAAGUUUUUUGUUUUUUGGGGUUGUUUUUUUUUUUCUUUUUACAGCUGCACCUGCAGCAUAUGGAAGUUCCUGGGCUAGGGGUCAAAUCAGAGCUGCAGCUGCCAGCCUGCGCUACAGCCACAGCAAUAUCAGAUUCAAGCCACAUCUGCAAGCUAUGCUACAGCUUGUGGCAACACUAGAUCCUUAACCCACUGAGUGAGGCCAGGCAUCGAAGCCGCAUCCUUACAGAGACUACAUUGGGUUUUGAACCUGCUGAGCCCCAGUGGGAACUCUGCCACCAGGAAGCUUUCCUCCUCGCAUCAUCUAAGUCCAAGAUGGCUGCUUGAGCUCAGCAACCAUCACCUCAUUCCAGGCAACAGGAAGGAGCAGUGAAAAGAGGUAAAAGGGUCCCCUCCCUUUUAAUGAGACUUUCUGGAAUCCACUGACAACUUCUCAGCUUAUACCUCAUUGGGCAGACUCUAACCACAUGGCCACACUUAGCUGGAAGGAAGGCUGGGACCUGUUUAGUUGGGUACACUGUUGCCUGAAAUAAACUCAGGGUUCUGUUACUCAGGGGAAUAACAGCAGCAAGGGUGGGAGUUAGGGUAGAACAUCAGUAGACUCCUCAGCAAGCCACAGACAGGGUCACCCAGAACUGGAGUCAGGAAGCAGCUCUCUUGGUGGUGGCCUUCCAGGGGGUCACUGGUUGGUGGCUUGUACCUCUAAACCACAUAUUCUUGUUGACAAAGGAGACAAAGCCCUCAGACAUUGUAACUCUUGUUCGUUUUUGGUGCUCAGAGUUGCCCACUACAAUGAUUUAGAGUGGGAUUUGUCAAAAGUAAUUUUUAUCCCUAUUAAGAUCUUUGGUUAGAGAUCUAUUCAUUUUAGCCCUGAACCCCUCUCACACAAUACCAAUCCAGGAAGAAGCAAUUGUCUUUGAAAAACAACAACAACAAGAAAAUUCCAUGGGGUCAGAGUUCCUAUUGUGACUCAAUGGAUUAAGAUCCCAAUAUAGUGUCCGUGAGGAUGAGGGUUCAAUCCCUGGCAUCGAUCAGUGGGUUAAGGAUCUGGUGUUGUCACAAGCUGUGGCAUAGGUCACACAUGCGACUUGGAUAUGGUGUUGCUGUGGCUGUGGCAGAGGUCUCAGCUGCAGUUCAUAUUUGAACCUUAGCCUGGGAACUUCCAUAUGCCACAGAUGCGGCCCUUAAAAAAAAAAAAAAAAAA
ensembl:lncRNA